rnacentral:rRNA from 1 species
CCUACGGGUAGCAGCAGUGAGGAAUAUUGGUCAAUGGACGAGAGUCUGAACCAGCCAAGUAGCGUGAAGGAUGACUGCCCUAUGGGUUGUAAACUUCUUUUAUAUGGGAAUAAAAUGUUCCAUGAGUGGGAUUUUGUAUGUACCAUACGAAUAAGGAUCGGCUAACUCCGUGCCAGCAGCCGCGGUAAUAUGGAGGAGCCGAGCGUUAUCCGGAUUUAUUGGGUUUAAAGGGAGCGUAGGUGGAUUGUUAAGUUAGUUGUGAAAGUUUGCGGCUCAACCGUAAAAUUGCAGUUGAGACUGGCAGGCGUGAGUACAGUAGAGGUGGGCGGAAUUCGCGGUGUAGCGGUGAAAUGCUUAGAGAUCACGAAGAACUCCGAUUGCGAAGGCAGCUCACUGGACUGCAACUGACACUGAGGCGCGAAAGUGUGGGUAUCAAACAGGAUUAGAUACCCGAGUAGUC